GUAGGUGGCAAGCGUUGUCCGGAAUUAUUGGGCGUAAAGCGCGCGCAGGUGGGUUCUUUAAGUCUGAUGUGAAAGCCCCCGGGCUCAACCGGGGAGGGUCAUUGGAAACUGGGGAACUUGAGUGCAGGAGAGGAAAGUGGAAUUCCACGUGUAGCGGUGAAAUGCGGAGAUAUGUGGAGGAACACCAGUGGCGAAGGCGACUUUCUGGCCUGUAACUGACACUGAGGCGCGAAAGCGUGGGGAGCAAACAGGAUUAGAUACCCUGGUGGUCCACGCCGUAAACGAUGAGUGCUAAGUGUUGGGGGGUUUCCGCCCCUCAGUGCUGCAGCUAACGCAUUAAGCACUCCGCCUGGGGAGUACGGUCGCAAGACUG
rnacentral:rRNA from 1 species